rnacentral:rRNA from 1 species
CUUUGAUCAUGGCUCAGGAUGAACGCUAGCUACAGGCUUACCACAUGCAAGUCGAGGGGAAACGACAUCGAAAGCUUGCUUUUGAUGGGCGUCGACCGGCGCACGGGUGAGUAACGCGUAUCCAACCUGCCCACCACUUGGGGAUAACCUUGCGAAAGUAAGACUAAUACCCAAUGACGUCUCUAGAAGACAUCUGAAAGAGAUUAAAGAUUUAUCGGUGAUGGAUGGGGAUGCGUCUGAUUAGCUUGUCGGCGGGGUAACGGCCCACCAAGGCUACGAUCAGUAGGGGUUCUGAGAGGAAGGUCCCCCACAUUGGAACUGAGACACGGUCCAAACUCCUACGGGAGGCAGCAGUGAGGAAUAUUGGUCAAUGGACGAGAGUCUGAACCAGCCAAGUAGCGUGCAGGAUGACGGCCCUAUGGGUUGUAAACUGCUUUUAUAAGGGAAUAAAGUGAGUCUCGUGAGGCUUUUUGCAUGUACCUUAUGAAUAAGGACCGGCUAAUUCCGUGCCAGCAGCCGCGGUAAUACGGAAGGUCCGGGCGUUAUCCGGAUUUAUUGGGUUUAAAGGGAGCGUAGGCCGGAGAUUAAGCGUGUUGUGAAAUGUAGACGCUCAACGUCUGCACUGCAGCGCGAACUGGUUUCCUUGAGUACGCACAAAGUGGGCGGAAUUCGUGGUGUAGCGGUGAAAUGCUUAGAUAUCACGAAGAACUCCGAUUGCGAAGGCAGCUCACUGGAGCGCAACUGACGCUGAAGCUCGAAAGUGCGGGUAUCGAACAGGAUUAGAUACCCUGGUAGUCCGCACGGUAAACGAUGGAUGCCCGCUGUUGGUCUGAAUAGGUCAGCGGCCAAGCGAAAGCAUUAAGCAUCCCACCUGGGGAGUACGUCGGCAACGGUGCAACUCAAAGGAAUUGACGGA